GAUGAAGAACGUAGCGAAAUGCGAUAAGUAAUGUGAAUUGCAGAAUUCAGUGAAUCAUCGAAUCUUUGAACGCAUCUUGCGCUCCUUGGUAUUCCGAGGAGCAUGCCUGUUUGAGUGUCAUUAAAGUUCUCAACCACAUUACUAGAUAUGUGGCUUGGAUGUGGGGGUUUGCAGGCUUUCUCUGAGGGUCUGCUCCUCUGAAAUGCAUUAGUGUAUUCCUGAGCUUUACUACAGAUGUGAUAAUUUAUCUACAUCCCAAAAGUAUGCUUCAGCAACACCGCUCCUAACAAGCGAAAGCACAUUUUGAUGAAUUUGACCUCAAAUCAGGUAGGACUACCCGCUGAACUUAAGCAUAUCAAUAAGCGGAGGA
rnacentral:misc_RNA from 1 species